rnacentral:rRNA from 1 species
AUUGAACGCUGGCGGCAUGCCUUACACAUGCAAGUCGAACGGUAACAGGUCUUCGGAUGCUGACGAGUGGCGAACGGGUGAGUAAUACAUCGGAACGUGCCCGAUCGUGGGGGAUAACGAAGCGAAAGCUUUGCUAAUACCGCAUACGAUCUAAGGAUGAAAGCAGGGGACCGCAAGGCCUUGCGCGAACGGAGCGGCCGAUGGCAGAUUAGGUAGUUGGUGGGAUAAAAGCUUACCAAGCCGACGCAAUGUAGCUGGUCUUAGAGGACGAUUGUGUACACUGGGACUGAGACACGGCCCAGACUCCUACGGGAGGCAGCAGUGGGGAAUUUUGGACAAUGGGCGAAAGCCUGAUCCAGCCAUGCCGCGUGCAGGAUGAAGGCCUUCGGGUUGUAAACUGCUUUUGUACGGAACGAAAAGACUCUGGUUAAUACCUGGGGUCCAUGACGGUACCGUAAGAAUAAGCACCGGCUAACUACGUGCCAGCCGCCGCAGUAA